UAGUCAUAUGCUUGUCUUAAAGAUUAAGCCAUGCAUGUCUAAGUAUAAGUAUCAUACAGCGAAACUGCGAAUGGCUCAUUAAAUCAGUUAUAGUUUAUUUGAUAAUCAAAAUUACAUGGAUAACUGUGGUAAUUCUAGAGCUAAUACAUGCUGUCAAACCUGACUUCUGGAAAGGUUGUAUUUAUUAGAUAUCAAACCAACAUUGGUGAUGAUUCAUAGUAACUGAUCGAAUCGCAGUCCGCUGCGAUAAAUCAUUCAAGUUUCUGCCCUAUCAGCUU
rnacentral:rRNA from 1 species